AGCUUUCACCUCAGCAGGCAAAGGGAGAGACACAUCUCCCAGAGACAGAGACAGAGGCUGGGGCACCCGGUCAGACACCUGCCCUGGCAGACCACACCUGGAGAGAGACAGAGAGAGAGACAGACAGACAGACAGACAGGUUAGACAGACCACACCUGGAGAGAGACAAAGAGAGAGAAACAGACAGACAAACAGACAGACAGGUUAGACAGACCACACCUGGAGAGAGACAAAGAGAGACAGACAGACAGAGAGACAGACAGACAGGUUAGACAGACCACACCUGGAGAGAGACAGGGAGAGAGACAGACAGACAGGUUAGACAGACCACACCUGUAGUGAGACAGAGAGAGAGAGAGAGACAGACAGACAGGUUAGACAGACCACACCUGGAGAGAGACAAAGAGAGAGAAACAGACAGACAAACAGACAGACAGGUUAGACAGACC